rnacentral:rRNA from 1 species
AUUGAACGCUGGCGGCAUGCUUUACNCAUGCAAGUCGAACGGCAGCGGGGUAGUGCUUGCACUACUGUCCGGCGAGUGGCGAACGGGUGAGUAAUAUAUCGGAACGUACCGAGUAAUGGGGGAUAACCAAUCGAAAGAUUGGCUAAUACCGCAUACGUCCUAAGGGAGAAAGCGGGGGAUCGCAAGACCUCGCGUUAUUCGAGCGGCCGAUAACUGAUUAGCUAGUUGGUGGGGUAAAGGCCUACCAAGGCGACGAUCAGUAGCGGGUCUGAGAGGACGAUCCGNCNCACUGGGACUGAGACACGGCCCAGACUCCUACGGGAGGCAGCAGUGGGGAAUUUUGGACAAUGGGGGCAACCCUGAUCCANCCAUGCCGCGUGUAUGAAGAAGGCCUUCGGGUUGUAAAGUACUUUUGUUAGGGAAGAAAAGGGAAGUGCUAAUACCACUUUUUGCUGACGGUACCUAAAGAAUAAGCACCGGCUAACUACGUGCCAUCAGCCGCGGUAAUACNUANGGUGCGAGCGUNNAUCNGAAUUACUGGUCGUNNNNCGAGCGCANACGGUUAUUUAANNAUGANGUGAAAUCCCCCGGGCUUANCCUGUGAACUGCGUUCUGAACUGGAUANGNUAGAGUGUGUCANAGGGGGGUAGAAUUUCUACGUGUA